rnacentral:rRNA from 1 species
AGCAGCCGCCGCGGUAAUACGAAGGGGGCUAGCGUUGUUCGGAUUUACUGGGCGUAAAGCGCACGUAGGCGGACUUUUAAGUCAGGGGUGAAAUCCCGGGGCUCAACCCCGGAACUGCCUUUGAUACUGGAAGUCUUGAGUAUGGUAGAGGUGAGUGGAAUUCCGAGUGUAGAGGUGAAAUUAGUAGAUAUUCGGAGGAACACCAGUGGCGAAGGCGGCUCACUGGACCAUUACUGACGCUGAGGUGCGAAAGCGUGGGGAGCAAACAGGAUUAGAUACCCCUGUAGUCCCUGUCUCUUAUAC